UCCAGUAGAUGGCGGUAAUGCACAUCAGUAAGUUGCCAACCGCCAUAAAAGAAGAAGAAGAAGCAAAGAGCUGCUAGGUUUUUGCACUUUGAGCGGUUUGUGACCAGAAUUAUGGAGAAACAUGAGAAAAUAAAGGAGCAGCAGAGAAACACGGACCACCCAGCUGAGAAACCUGCAAACACAGUGAAGACCUUGAAAACAAUUGGAAUCCAGAAACCCGAGAGUGAUUCCUGUAAGAAGAUCUCUGCUACAACAACAUCUGAAACUUCCCAAAGAGCAGACGAAGAGAAGAAACCGUACAGCUGUGACCAGUGUGGGAAAUGCUUCAGAAAACCAUCCUGUCUCAAACAACACAAGAAAAUCCAUGCUGAUAAAAAUGAAGAUAAAAAACUGUACAGCUGUGAUCAAUGUGGGAAAAAAAUUGCACGACUUGACAAUUUAAGAACCCACCAGAGGGUUCACACUGGAGAAAAAUUGUAUGCAUGCGAUCAAUGUGGGAAACGUUUUCGCUUUGCAAAUGGUUUAGCAAAACACAGAAACAUUCAUUCUGAUGUAAGAAAAUACAGAUGUGACAAAUGCAGCAAAACCUUUACAUGUUUAGAUUAUCUAAAAUCCCAUUACCGCAGUCACACUGGAGAGAGACCCUACUGGUGUGAGCACUGUGGGAAAACGUUUAAGUAUCCAAAAAACUUGAAGCGACAUCGGUGUGUACGCACUGAGGGAAAACCAUAAUGUUCUGACCACAGGUCCAGUUGUGCAUUCUAGAAGAUUCUUUUGGGACAAAAAGACCCAAAAAGGUUCUGCUGCUGUAAAAAUACAUUUUAUUUUUUAAAUUUUGUGAGAGCUGUUAAUCUUGACAAAUUUGGAAUAAAAUCUGUUUUGACCUUAUUUUGUUUGAAAUCUCAUUGAACUAUUUGGUUUUACUCAUGAGGGCAGACAGACGUCCACUGAGAGGUGUUAAUGAUUAAUUACCAGGUUUUAGCUGUUAAUAAGUGUUUACAUAAAGACCUGUAGCUCUAAAACCUCUUUAAACACAAAUAUGAAGCGGCUCUAAAUGUUUUCAUGAGGUUUAUGGUAGACUUUUGCUUUUCUCCUCAGGGCUUCAAUAAUAAAUUAACUUUCAGGAAGUUAAUGACCAGCUAAUGUGUCCAGUAGUUUCAUGAUGGAAGUUUGUUCUAAAAUCUCUCAAACGUGUUUAAAAGUCCGAAGCUCUGAACAUUCAGACACAAUUAUGUGGGAAGGAAGUGAUGGUCUGGAAAUCUGUUUAGAUUAGCAUCACCCUCCUGCCUUCACUGUAACGUUUAAUAUAAAGUUACAAACUGAUCUGCUGUGUUGCUGUUUUACUGCCUUCAUCCUGUGGAUUUACAGAAAAUGUUUCAAACUUCUCACUCCUGUCAUCCUGACCUGACAAAUGGCAUUUUAAAUUAUUUCAUCUUUUCUGGUAUUAACCAGAACAAUUCUGACCAAUUUAAACGACUUCAGUGUAUUUAAUGUAACUUUCUGCAGGAGAACCCAAUAAAUCCACGUGAAGCUGCUCUGAGUCCAGCAGCGUCUCGUUUGUCUGACGUCUCCAAACGAAGACUUGGCUGUUAGCAUGAACUCCUCUGGAUGUGUCGACGUUCAACAAACGGAUCCACAGUGAGGAAAAUAAGUAUUUGAUCACCCUGCAACUCUGCAGGUUCUCCUAGAAAUCAUGGAGGGUCUGAGAUGUUCAUGUUGUCCACUGGGAGAGACAUAAAAAAGAAUCUGGAAAUCAUAAUGUUUAAAUUUAAAAAAAUAAUUUAGUUGCAUGUUGCUGCUGUGAAUAUGUGCAUAUAAUGAAUAGUAGCCACACAGGCUCACCCACUAGAAGGAAACAAACGCACCCAGCAUAACACUGCCAUUCUAUUGGCUGACAGAUUGCCAGGCGACAACACUUUUCUGUUCUGAGCAGAAAAUGAUUCUCAAGCGAGCAGAGGUUCACAAGCGGAGAUUUGAUCCGAACAGAGAAACAAUUUUUAAGCUCAAGGAGGAAGGUUUGAGAGAGCAGAGUGAACAUUUGAGAGAGCAGAAGUUUGGAGGAGAAAGACAUGAAGUUCUGCUUUCAGACUGAAAAUGUUUGCUCUGGAAUUAUGGCAGUAAAAUUCCCCCAUACUGGUGUGGAGGAUCAGAAACUGGAUCCUUUCAUCUACAUGUUUGUGUAAGAUAAUAAUUAGUAGUAAUAACUUAUUUAAUCGGCUUGUCCCAUUGAGAUCAGAAAAGCUCUUUAAUUAGAGAACAGUUAACUCAUUAAACACAUUAAACAUAUGGAUGCAGUGAAAUAUAUAAAAACAAAUAAAACCACUGUACUUCUGUAACAUGAUGGGUCUGAAAUAUUCCCUGAACAGUUUUACUGUUAUGAAGCUUCACUUUAAUUCAGUUUGAAUCAGUUUUCUUCCUUCAUGUAUCUGAUAAUGUUAUGUAUCUGAACUCAUUUUCCAUAUUAAUGUUUGCAGAAACAUGUCAGCAGUCAUUCUAACCAUUUAUCCCCCAAUCUAGCUUUCCAAUAAUAAAUGAUGAUAAACAUCCAUCACUUAUGCAGCAGGUAUUCAUAAGUAAUAAUGUAGAUUCUAAUGUUGAUCCUAGCAGGUAGAAAACAAACAGCAGGGGGCGCUGUAGCAACAAAAAAGACAUUUAUAUUUGAAUGUUGGCUUCAUUUCUUAUCCUGAUUCUGUGAAAAAACUGCAGAGAAGAAAACUUUAUAUUAAACCUGAGAGCUUAGCGACAGAACGUAAAGAUCGCAGCUAAUGGAUACUUUAAUGUUUUGACCCCUGUCGGCCACCGUAGCUGGAAGAACGACACAGCAGCAGCUUUGAUUCCUGACAGUUUAUUGCCAUCAUGUCUGCAGGUCGAGCCUGAGAUUGGUUCCUGAUACAACAAAACCCGACAGACAGGAAACACCCGAGCAGCUCUGGGCCAAUAGAACGUCUCUAACCCCCCCUCUGUGAUGUCACAGCUUCAGAGGCUGUGAUUGGUGCAGAGGUGUGGGUGGGCGGGGCCGGCAGUGAAUGUUCUGGAAUCGGGGUCCCAAACAAAUCCAGAGAAAAAAGAAAUAAAAACAAAACGUCAAAUAAAAAGAUGAGUCUAAAUUAAUCCUGAAACUCACACACACACA